UGCAUUAAUGACAAUCCUAAUGAUAAAUAUCAUAACUAGCAAUCUAUAGUUGGGGCUAAUACCUCAUAACCUAUUUGAACCCUAAAUCUAACAGUAGAACUACUCAGACAUAGCUAAACAAUUUAUAACAACAAUAAGGUAUAAAAACUGCAUAGAUAUUAAAUAGAUAAUAAUGGAGUUCCAAUCACAAAUCUCUUUGGAUCUUCUCUCCAACUCUACUAAAAUCCUAGAAAACCUUUUGCUGUGAAAAAAAGAAAACAAGAAAGCACAU
rnacentral:lncRNA from 1 species